CCUACGGGUGGCAGCAGUGAGGAAUAUUGGUCAAUGGGCGGGAGCCUGAACCAGCCAAGUCGCGUGAGGGAAGACGGUCCUAUGGAUUGUAAACCUCUUUAGGCGGGGAGCAAUGCCGGGCACGUGUGCCCGGAGGGAGAGUACCCGCAGAAUAAGCAUCGGCUAACUCCGUGCCAGCAGCCGCGGUAAUACGGAGGAUGCGAGCGUUAUCCGGAUUUAUUGGGUUUAAAGGGUGCGUAGGCGGACUGUUAAGUCAGCGGUAAAAGCCCGGGGCUCAACCCCGGCGAGCCGUUGAAACUGGCUGUGUUGAGAGGUGGAGAGGUAUGCGGAAGGGGCAGGGUAGCGGUGAAAUGCGUAGAUAGUGCGCAGAACUGCGAUGGCGAAGGCAACAGACCGGCGGCGAUCUGACGCUGAGGCACGAAAGCGUGGGUAUCGAACAGGAUUAGAUACCCUAGUAGUC
rnacentral:rRNA from 1 species